rnacentral:rRNA from 1 species
GAGUUUGAUCCUGGCUCAGGACGAACGCUGGCGGCGUGCCUAACACAUGCAAGUCGCACGGGGUAGCAAUACCCAGUGGCGAACGGGUGCGUAACACGUGAGGAACAUACCUAGUCGGCGGGGGAUAGCCGGCCCAACGGCCGGGUAAUACCGCCGUACGCUCUCCGGGAGGCAUCUCCUGGGGAGGAAAGCAGCAAUGCACCGAUGGAGGAUCUCGCGGCCUAUCAGCUUGUUGGCGGGGUAAU